UGCUUUGCUAUUAAAUAAAAUAAAAUUUAAAAAAUAUUGUUAAUUUUCGAACACAAAUAAGAAUGCGACGAGCAAGUAAAACUAAAUAUGUUAAUUAAAUUUUCCUUUUCUUUCAUCUAUAUUACAGACAGGCUUAUAAUCUAGAAAGAGACAGUGAAAUCACUAAUCUGGGCUUAUAUUGUUAAUCCGGAUUGUCGAUACGGAUCAGAUACUUAACAACUGCAUUUUGAUCUUGUGGCUAAUAAUCGAAAUCUAGGCAAGAAGAAAAAAAAACCGCUUUUUAAUAUCACGCAUCGGGUUUUUAAACAGAAAUUCUGCUUUACGAACAACUACGUUACAAAAAAAUUGGCAUUGAAAAGUAAACGUUCGAUACAAUAUCGGAGCUUCCUUUCUGGCAAAUUAACAAGUUACAUGCUCCAGAUAAACAAACGUCUGUAUAUCGUAAGUAUACGCGAUAGUUAUAUUACGCUUUCCGCAAUGCGGAAAACGUUGGCAGAUUGCGUUGAGGAUGUAAUUCGAAGAUAACAUCAGGAUAUUAAAAAAAAAAAUUAUACUAAAAAAUUCAUAACGUUCUUCUUACAUAAAUCUUGGCAGCAAUAUGAAUAAUUUGAGAGCGUUCCAGCGCCUAUAUAAAUUUAAAACCACCUUGAAAGCUAUAUUCUCUUACGAAACUAUUGAACGUAUAUCUGUCUUCACGCAAGAGAGAUCAUAUUAUCAACAAAAUAACACAGAAAAAAUAAACAGCGACGUCAAAAAUAA